CCUUCGUCCGUUCAUUCCGUCAAGUCGUUCGCCGCGAAUUUUUCCGCCGUAUCGCCAAUCGCGAUCAGCGCCCUGGUAUCGCGCCGAACAUCAUCAUCCAGAGAUUCGCCGGAAACCGAAGAUCUACCGCAGCGCAAUGAUCGAUUCCGUGGCUUCAUCAGAUUUUUGCAAGUACCUUUCAUGUUGCAAUUGCCAAAUCAACGACUGUUUAAGCAGUUGCUUGUAACUACGGUGGAAAUGUGUCAUCUGAGUAAAUAGAACGCAGAACGAUCUUGCUUCAUCGAGAACAUCGUCGCGACGUUCAUUUAUGUCGUACAGGGGGCACCGAACUGCUUGCAAUUUCUCAUGCUUCGCGGCAUUGUUGGUUGGCCAAAAGGAUGUGUUAACAAGUCGUGGCACGAGCUGGUAGCAAAGCGGUUAUGUUUGCGGUGCAAUCAGAUGGCGGCGCUAAAGAGGAAGAGGCUCCUCGCACCUUCCUGAUAACGAGUCAUGCCGCUAAGUUGGAGCAGCCACAUUUUUGCAUGAGGAGCUCCCUCCUUCCUUGAGUUGCGGACCAGCUAUACUGGUAGCAGAUCGCUGAUAUUGGUUGGUGCAUUAUAAAUGAGGCAGAAAUCAUGAGCUUUGCAAAUAAAAGUAAUUAGUCAUUUACAUAGGAGAUAUAUUGCAACGUGAUAUGUACGUAUAUCAUUGAAUUUUAAAAUUAGAAUUUUAAAGUUAGAUUUAAUUUUAAAAUUUUAAAUUAGAAUAAGAAGAUUGAAUUAAAAUACGCGAUAUUAUGAAAAUGUAAUUAUCAAACAGUAUGAGAAAUUAUAAUUAUAAUUAUCAGACAACUUUAAAAAAACAACAAAGACAUAUAUUCGCACGCGAUAAAGUUUUAAUAGAUUAGAAGAUUGGGAAAAAAGAACUGAAACAGAGAGAGGAGAGAGAGAGAGAGAAAGAGAGAGCUGAGAAUUGAAAGUUGAGGAUUGAGAACUGAAAGCUGGAAAUCUAAAAUGUAUUGUGCAAAAACAAGAUUGUUUCUAGCAUUUUAUUUUCAAAACAACUCUCGAAACUUUUGCUCUUAAAAAAUGACGUUCAAAAAAUAUACGUUUUGAAAAAUAUAUGUUCAAUAUAUAUUAUUGCUAUAUUAUACAAUAAUUGACAAAUUCUUAAUUUUAAUUCUUCAAUUUUAUUCAAGAAUUUCAAGAAUUAUUAAAAUUAUAAAAUAAAUAUAAAUAUUUCAAAAAAAUAGAAGUAGAUUUAUUCCUCCUUUUUUAGCAAGUUAAAAUCUUGCUCUAUUCUGCUUAUUCAGAGCUCUCGUCUUACGAUACCUUUGCGUAUUGCAUAUGGCAUAUAAUGACUUUCGCGUGAUAACCGUUAUCGCGUAAAAUUUAUUGGACCUAAUAAAUAGACUUUUUUCUUCAAG